rnacentral:lncRNA from 1 species
GAAAAAGGAAAAAACAAAAACAAAAACAAAAACAAAAACAAAAACAAAAAGAAAAAGAAAAAAUGAAAAAAAAUUGAAAAAGAAAAAAAAAGAGUAAUAGAAAAUAGAGAAAGAGAGAAAAUGAAUGAGAGAGUUAUUGAUUGUAAUUAGGGAUAAUUAAUAAGCAAGAGAGGAUUAUGGAUUGUAAAUUGCAAUUAAUUAAAAUUUAGGCUAAAUAAGAUAAUUAGGAGCCUAUAUUUGCUAAACUAUGUAGUUAUCCCUUUUAUUAUUCAUAUUGGCUCUUCAUUAUUUGGUAGUUGAUUAAAUCAAUUAUUUAAUGGUCUGAGUCUAUAGUUACAUGUCAUUUUUUCUGUUGAUCAGUGAUCUUCUAACUCUUUUGAAAUAGAUGGAGAAUUAUAAGAAUCCUUCUGUUAUUCUACUAGUUACAAAACAGUUAGACACGAUAGCUAUCUGCACACAAAAAUAAAUAAGCAUUCAGCUCAUCAAUCAAAAAAUCUAAACUUUUAGAUUAAACACACAUACAUUUACAUGGAAGAUAACAUGAUAUUCAAAGGUCAACAAUAGCAGAUAAUAUAGACUAUAGCAGAUAACAGAUAGUUAAACUCUAGUUUACCUAAUUCUAAAUUUCUAAUUUCAAAACCAAAAAACUAACGAGGCACAACAACAACACCCCUCUAAGUAGGAUGUUAAGAUAUUUGAUUUGUGGACUUCUUGAAAAUUUCCUGUUUUCAUUAUCAACCAACCA